AAGGCCCUAGCUUAAUUAAAGUGUCUGGCUUGCAUUCAGGAGAUACAGGUUAGUGCCCUGUGGGUCUUA
rnacentral:tRNA from 1 species